AACGCACAUUGCGCCCCUUGGUAUUCCGGGGGGCAUGCCUGUUCGAGCGUCAUUACACCCCUCAAGCAUUGCUUGGUGUUGGGCUCCGCUGCUCACGCGGCGGGCCUUAAAAUCAGUGGCGGUGCCGUCGGGCCCUGAGCGCAGUAAAUAUCCUCGCUACAGGGACCCGGUGGACGCUGGCCAUCAACCCCCAACUUUCUAAGUUUGACCUCGGAUCAGGUAGGGAUACCCGCUGAACUUAA
rnacentral:misc_RNA from 3 species